GAGACACCAAGCACCCAGAGCUUCCUCUGGGACCAUAGUACCUCUCAAGUGGUGCCAGGACUUGAACCUGGGGCACACAAGUAACGAAGCAGACACUCUACCUGUGCCACCCUAGCAUGCUUCACUUCAGACUGUGUCCAGAGACUUCAGGUGUGUAAUGACAACCCUUCAGCUUCAUCACUCGGCCACCAGUUUCCGGAUGCCAGCAUGAUGCUGACCAGACUUCCCUGGACUGACGACCCCACCAAUGUGUUCUGGAGCUCUGCUUCCCCAGAGACCCACCCUACUAGGGAAAGAGAGAGGCAGACUGGGAGUAUGAAUCAACCAGUCAAGUCCAUGUUCAACGGGGAAGCAAUUACAGAAACUAGAACUUCCACCUUCUGCAACCCACAAUGACCUCUGGAUCCAUACUCCCAGAGGGAUAGAGAAUGGGAAAGCUAUCAGGGGAGGGGAUGUUAUAUGGAGACUGGGUGGUGGGAACUGUGUGGAGUUGUACCCCUCCUAUCCUAUGGUUUUGUUAAUGUCUCCUUUCUUAAAUAAAGAAAG